UAAAGGGCAUUGGUCUCAUAUAGGGUAUCUCCCCGGAUAGAAAAUUGACCUUCAACAAAUUGGGCAUGAUCUUGUGACAUAUCAACUUUCUUUGGAAGCCUAGGACGUAAAUAGAUAUCCCUAUAGAAAUAAAUAAGAAAGGGUAAAUAGUCGGGUGGAGAAUGUAAGAACAAAUCCCUAUCAAGAAAGAAAAAUGGCUACCUGAGUAAAAAAGAGGAAAUCUUGAUUUAGAAGUGUGUGGUCCUAAGUCAUCUUUAGUUUCUCAAAGAAACAAUACCUUUACAAGGAAUUAGGGUAAGGAGGAAGUUCAGGUGAACCAUCUCUAAUAACAAAAGAAGGCCCUAGAAUAGCAACAACAUUUGCAAACAUCCCUCGAUGGUGGUAAAUAUAAAGUGGGGGAGAAAGGUGAGUUUGAUUCUUGUCUCUAUGCCCUCCAAAACAUUUAGAGUGUUGUGCUAACCACCCUUUGUCUCAUAUAAGGGAGUGCCUUUGUAAGUUUUGGUAUGAGGUUUCAUACGGAUGGAUUAUUUAGAAAAAGUGACACAAACAUAUCAAGGGGGAGUCGGUGUUAAGGCCAAUGAACCUCCAGUGCCCUCCUGAUGUUCAUUACUUUGCCUUUUCUUCUCCUUCAACUUGAUAGUGGCCGACGAAUCCUUACCAAUUCUUUUCUUUCUCUUACUUUCCUCUUCAGCCACCCUCUUCCCCUUGGUUUGAUUGAGAGAGAAUAUGUAUCCUUCAACAUAAUAAAGGAAAUCUUUCUUAUGAGCCUCUAUAAAUCUGGGUGUAAUUCUUGGUAAAAAAUAUGAGGGAAAGGUUUAGCUAUAAACAAGGAACAAAAAGGAGAAGAAAAUACUAACCAUGAUCCUUUGAAUGCCAACCCAUUUUCCAAAAUAAGGCCUUAGGUACGCUCUAACGAGAUCACAGAGCCAAAAAUAGUUUAUACCAGGUUUAGAUAGCAAACCCAUAAUUAGAGAGCUCCAAUAAGAGGCUGAAGUAACUGAAAUUAGGGGAUAUAAGGGAAGUAAGAACACACAUACAAUAUAGAAGAAUCAAUAAGGGAAGAGAAAGGGAACUCAAUGUUACAGUUCCUUUCUUUUGGUAUAUGGCAACUUAGAAUAAGGUCAAUGGUGCAAAGAUUGGCAAACUUGUUAACCCAAUAGUAAUCAUUUUCAUCAUGGCUGGAGAGAACACCUCUGUUUCCAUCAAAAGAUAUAGUAAAAAGCAUCUAUAUACAAGGAUUGGGGGAUAAAGUAGAAUGAGAUUCCUAAAAGUGAAAUCCUGGUUCAAAGAAUUUGCAAUAACCAAAAGGUUGGGGACGACCUCUAGGUGGUGGAAUGGACUUGUCCAAUCCAUAUUGUAUACUUCUCACAAAGCUGUAAGAUAAGUUAAAUAUUGCAUUUGUACCAAACAAUAUGGAAAAUGGAUAAGUAUAGAACAUGUUAUAUCUAGGCCUGAUGUUAGAGGUAUCCUCCCCGAGAAGAGGGGAGUGAACAUCAAAUUUGGCUAGCCAGCCACAAUCAAGCUCGACUUGAGGUAUGUAACCAUCAUAUCUUCUGGAGAUAAUGUAGGUAAUAAAGCAGAAGACUCCCUAAAUCUGAUCCUUGCGACAAUCCCUAGUAUUAAAGUCCAACACCUUAGACGGAAUCAUGGAAUUAAGAGCUUCCUUCUCCUCCUUAAAGAGCUUUAACUCUCAUAAAAAAAAUUAAAGGCUAUGACGACAUUUGCUUAAAGAAGAAAUCCUCAAAACUUAUUAAAAAGAGGUUAUGGGGUAUAAUAGAGUAAAAAAUGGUGUUCAAAUAAGAUGUCAUUGGGAAAGGGGAAAGGAAAUGAAGUAAAGCAAAGAUUUCGGGAAAAAGAAAAGAGUGGUUUUGCUUGUAAAGUGAUUGAAAAAUACACGAUUG
rnacentral:lncRNA from 1 species